CACGUAGGGUGCGAGCGUUGUCCGGAAUUAUUGGGCGUAAAGAGCUCGUAGGCGGCUUGUCGCGUCGAAUGUGAAAUUUUAGGGCUCAACCCUGACAUUGCAUUCGAUACGGGCAGGAGAGUUCGGUAGGGGAGACUGGAAUUCCUGGUGUAGCGGUGAAAUGCGCAGAUAUCAGGAGGAACACCGGUGGCGAAGGCGGGUCUCUGGGCCGAUACUGACGCUGAGGAGCGAAAGCGUGGGGAGCGAACAGG
rnacentral:rRNA from 1 species